rnacentral:rRNA from 1 species
UACGUAGGGGGCAAGCGUUGUCCGGAUUUAUUGGGCGUAAAGAGCGUGUAGGCGGUCAUGUAGGUCCGUUGUGAAAACUCGAGCUCAACCUCGAGACGCCGAUGGAAACCAUGUGACUAGAGUCCGGAAGAGGAGAGUGGAAUUCCUGGUGUAGCGGUGAAAUGCGCAGAUAUCAGGAAGAACACCCGUGGCUAAGGCGGCUCUCUAGUACGGUACUGGACGCUGAGACGCGAAAAGCGUGGGGAGCGAACAGG